CUUCCAGGUCCACCCCCGAGACCUGCCUGCCCAGCCUCCAUGCCCCCCACCAAGGACAACCUUGUCCCCAGCUACCCUGCAGGCUCCCCCAGCGUGGCGGCUGCCUGUAGCCAGGCAGAGUGCAUGGGCGGGAGCCAGGCUAUCACCUCACCACUGCCUGCCAACACGCCAUCCCCGUCCUUCAGCAAGCUGCCGCCUUCCAAGGCCAGCAAGUCAUCCAAAGGCAAGGACGGGGUGGAGGUGGAGGCCCCUUCUCGAAAGCGGAAGUUAUCCCCUGGCCCCACCACUCUUAAACGGACCUGCAUCCUGGAGCCCACUGGAAAAGGGAAACCCUCUGGCUGUAGGGGCCUCUCGGCCAAAACUAAAACAGCCCUGAGCAUGGGGCUUAAUGGGACAAUGGGGCCAAGAGUGAAGCGGGCAGGGCCCCUGGACUGUCGUGGCUCCCCUCAUCAGCUCCCCACACCAGUCAAGGCUUCUCAGCUGGAGAACCAGGGAGCAGCCGGACACCCAGCCAAGGCCCUGCCAACCAACUGCCUCUCUGAGGAGGAGGUGGCCAAGAAGCGGAAAAACCUGGCCACUUAUUGCCGGCCAGUGAAGGCCAAGCACUGUCAGGCUGGUGCCCCUGCUGAUGUGGCCUGCUCUGUGCGCCGCAAGAAGCCAGGCCCGGCCCUGGCCUUUGAGGAGAAGUGCUCUACACUGAAGGUACUGGAGCUACCUCUGUUCCCUGAAGGAAAGGGAGUUUGAGUCCCUGGGUCACAGCCUAACAUGCCGAGCAGCAAGUCAAAAGCCCAUUAACGAGAAAGUGCCUGCCCACUGCAACGGAGCCGCCAGCACCUCCUCCCCUCCAGAUCCGGGCCCCAGGCUGCUGCCGCUUUUUAUAACUUUAUAUUAUUUUUUUUAAGAAAAAAAGCUCUUUAAAAUACCUCAA
rnacentral:sRNA from 1 species